UCGCGCAGGGAAGUAAACACCGCAAUGUGCACACAAACUCGCCCGAGGAGCCGCAAUGUUGCGCCCCCAAAAACUUGGUUGUGUGUCCAAAGAGUGUCACCCCUUUUCUCUCCGCUUCAUGAGACCGGACAGCGACGUGCAAGAAGCGCUACUUUUUUUUUUCUUUUCCCCCCUGCAAACCGGGAAGGAAGAGAACAAAAAACGUGGGACCUACUUUUUGCCAGUUUUCUCGCCCUCGCCUUGGAUCUCAUAUUGUCGCCUUGUAGAUUCCUCUGGUCGUCCACCGUGAGCCCAGAAGCAGCAACAACACUAUCUUCAUCUCACCAGCAUUAUCACUUAUCUCUUCCCCUCCUCCUCCUCUACCUCCUCCUCCACUGCUCUCUCCUCACACUCGCACCUUCUCUCCCUCCCUCACACCCCCUCCAUCCUCCGGCCCCAGCUCCCAGCCCACCCAGCUCCGCUCCUGCCAGCACCCACUUGCAUUUAACUCAAGGCGCCGUCGUGCUACUCUGCAGCCGCCCGGUGCACGCGGCCAGAUUGGUUGACAAAAAAGGCAGGGGAAAAAAGUUUGUUCCAAGAUGGACCGCCGCUAAUUCCACGGUUCGCGGGGUAUUUCGUGUGCGUGCGUGUGCUUGUGUAGCAAUGCAGGACCCAGCGGCUGUUUGACGCAUGCAUGCCCCCCCCCCCAAACCAAACAUUCUGUUCACAGAGUUGCUUAGUCGUAAUUAUUAAUUAAAAAAAAACAGAAUAACAAAAAACUAAAAAAGAGAAAUGCAUGCAAUUGAAAUGGACUGCAGGCUCUGUAAGCAUGACUCCGCACCAGUCUGUUGGUUUAUUGUUUGUGUGCUGCAGACAGCAAUGAAGAAACCUGUAUGCAUGGCCUCAACUCGCUCCCACGGUGCAUGUGAUGUUUAUAACUUCAAAUAUGACAAAAUGUAGACCAUAAUGCAAAUUGUUCCCAAUUAGAUAAUAAUAAUGAUGACAAUAAUAAUAAUAACAAUAAUUAGUAUUAUUAUUAUUGACAUUAUUAUUAUUAUUAUUAUUAUAUUUUUCCUUGUAGCAUAAUUUGGAAAAAGUGUGUACGCUUGCAAUUGGACCCGAGCGGUGGGCCGGGCUCCACAUGGUUCCUGGGCCUGUAGCCUACAUGUCAUAUGGGAAUGGUUUCCGUCUGGUUUUGGCUAAAUAAAGGCGGCUCUGUGUUGGAGCCUAUUAAAGAUCUGCGAUGAUGGAGUGACUGCAGUUUGCUGGAAGGCGCACUCAUCCAUUCACAUUACAACGAAUGCAUAUACAAUUGUUAUAAUUGUGAUUAUUAUUAUUAUUAUUAUUAUUAUCAUCCUCAUCAUCAGUAGUAGUAAUAGUAUGAGGAGGGUCAUAUAGUAAUAAUAUAUAACAAGUUGACAUAAAUCACUUCCAAACUCCUCGUCUUGCAGACACGUAUCAAGCACAUUGGACAGAAAUUGCCCCGGGAUGUUUCCUCAAGACUGGAUGUGAAAUACAGACUGUAAUUAUUAAUCAAUAAUAAUCAGUGGCAAUUACCACGUAUUAGAUGGAUACAACAGGGAGUCUGUCUUUGAAUCUUGGCAGUAUUUUUUUUCUGUUUGACAAAAAUGAACUAUACGUCCACACAAGGAAUUUGAUCACAAUAUUAGGUACAUAUACGUCCAAGAUUAAUUAUUGUAAAUAGGAUAACACUCAAUUUUAACUAACACGACGUUAAGAACGGUAUGUAAAUAGUUUGUAUAUUAUGGUAUUCAUUUAUUGAAUGCUGAGUUUUAAAAUGUAUCUUUUUACAUAUUUCGUAGUCACAACAAAGAACAAUGCGAAACUAAGGGAAACUUUCAGCUCAAAUAGUUAUUGAUAAAGUGUUCAAAGGUUUUUGUUUGGCGCUGGUUAUUGCGUGGGAGUGUUAAUUAGUCAUUGUCUUGAUAGACUGGCUCUAGAUCGAUUAGCUCAGCCUCACAGACAAUAUUGAAGAAAACCGCAAAAACGAAUUUACUUGCGUGUGUGUGGGGGAGAGAGAGAGAGAGAGAGAGAGAGAGAGAGAGAGAGAGAGAGCUGUGUGUGUGUGUGGGGGGGGGUCGAUGGGUGCACGCGCGCACGUCUGUGGUUAUGACAUUUACAGGGAAGGCCCGUGAAAACAAAAUAACAUUUCUAUUGCAUUAGUUUGGACAAAUGACGAGCAAUUAAGGUUUAAUUACCUUGGCAAG